AUUGAAUGCUGGCGGCAGGCCUAACACAUGCAAGUCGAACGAGUGGCGGACGGGUGAAUAAUGUCUGGGAAACUGCCUGAUGGAGGGGGAUAACUACUGGAAACGGUAGAUAAUACCGCAUACCAUCGGAUGUGCCCAUAUGGGAUUAGCUAGUGGGGGGGGUAACGGCUCACCUAGGCGACGAUCCCUAGCUGGCCUGAGAGGAUGACCAGCCACACUGGAACUGAGACACGGUCCAGACUCCUACGGGAGGCAGCAGUGGGGAAUAUUGCACAAUGGGCGCAAGCCUGAUCCAGCCAGGCCGCGUGUAUGAAGAAGGCCUUCGGGUUGUAAAGCACUUUCAGUGAGGAGGCGUUACUCGCAGAAGAAGCACCGGCUAACUCCGUGCCAGCAGCCGCGGUAAUUC
rnacentral:rRNA from 1 species